ensembl:lncRNA
GGGAAAGGGGAGGGGGAAACUUUAAAACUACUAAUGACUCGUACUAUUCUUCUGUCCACAGAUACGGAUUCCAGUCCUCAAUAACACUCCUCUUCAGCCCUUGCUCGGCACACUCCACUUCAGCCCUCAAUUUCCAGCCGACUCCACUCCAGGUAAGUGUAAGGCAAGAGCCAGGCAGUUGAUGUACAGGGAUUUUCUGGCUCUAGGGGAGGGGGGGAUGGACUUCAAGACCCAAGGCUGAGCUGUUAGCACGCAGGAGUUCUAGCUCUCAGGUAAGUACAGAAUUCAAUACAUAAGUGGGUAUCCACAAGGCUGGGCUAUUAGUGUGCUGGGGUUCUAGCUCUCAGGUAAGCAUAAAGUUCAAUACACAGGUGAGUAUUCACAGGGCUGGGCUGUUAGCGUGCAGGGGUUCUAGCUCUCAGGUAAGCACAAAGUUCAAUACACAGGUGAGUAUUCACAGGGCUGGGCUGUUAGCGUGCAGGGGUUCUAGCUCUCAGGUAAGCACAAAGUUCAAUACACAGGUGAGUAUUCACAGGGCUGGGCUGUUAGCGUGCAGGGGUUCUAGCUCUCAGGUAAGCACAAAGUUCAAUACACAGGUGAGUAUUCACAGGGCUGGGCUGUUAGCGUGCUACUCACCACUGAAGAUAUUCAGAGGUCGGUGUUCCCAGCGGAUACGGGUUUUGGUCGAUGACUGACGGCUGGUGGGCCUUACAGGUGAAACUGCGAACAACACUGGGCUUCCCACCCAGCUUGGCAAGGGGACACACGGGGGAGGAUCGGCUGCUGUCCUUCGCUUCCCUCGUCGAAGAGACAGCACAGACGACACGCACAAGGCCGGUGGUUGCUAACAAGGCCAAUGACACAACGUCACGUGGAUGAAAAGGUAAGGCUUUGAUUUGAAAGCUUACAGAGAUCGCUGUGUGGGCGACGUCAUCCAACCUCCUCCAGAGGCGCCUCCAACACGUCCAAGCUCCAGCUUACUUAAAGGAAAG